rnacentral:siRNA from 1 species
AGAACGCCACGAGAUUGCAGUUCC